rnacentral:rRNA from 1 species
UACAGAGGUCUCAAGCGUUGUUCGGAUUCAUUGGGCGUAAAGGGUGUGUAGGUGGCGCCGUAAGUCGGGUGUGAAAUUUCGGAGCUUAACUCCGAAACUGCAUUCGAUACUGCCGUGCUUGAGGACUGGAGAGGAGACUGGAAUUUACGGUGUAGCGGUGAAAUGCGUAGAGAUCCGGAGGAACACCGAAGGCGAAGGCAGUGUCCUGGCGCGUAACUGACGCUGAGGUGCGAAAGCCAGGGGAGCGAACGGG